CACAUGUUGAAUAAAGCUUUAUUAAAUUGCACUGAAUCGCAUUGGAUCGAAGUCCCAUGAUUUCUACCCAGCAUCAGACUCACUGGGAACCACCAAAUCCCAACAGUUUCUUGGCACAGCGAGCAGGGUUUGAAAUAUCGUUCAGGAUCACGACCUACAAUCAAAUUAGAGGAUUGCCAAAUGCACAUGAAAGACUUAGAAGUGAUCCUGCAACACUUGGCAGACAGUGGGGUAAAAUGUAAUGC